ensembl:lncRNA
GUCAAUCUUAACACUUUUGAGACAAAUUAUGUCAGAGAAGCAAGCCAAUUUUGGGGGCUGGCUUGGGGCAGAUAAUAACAGUUCAAUCAUUAAAUGCAUGCUUCAGAAAACACCAAUCAGUUGUUCUGAAAGAGUGAACCUAUGGUUUCUCCGCUGCAGUCCUCACUCGUGAUUGAUAAGGUGGUCUGCACUAUCGUAUGGCUUUGAUUUGAACCUGCUGCUCCGAGCCUCUAAGGGAGGCCAUGGUGCAAUAGAAUUAGCCUGGUUUAGUUCAUUUUGCUCCAGAUCUGCCACUGCCUGGCCUGGUCUGGUUCAUCCUGGCCUGUAACCUCGUCUAAUCAGAUAGCCGUGUAAGGCCAGGUGCUUCGCUGGCUCUCUGCUUCGACUGCUCAGCCAGCCACGCUGAUUUGCAUUAUUCAGAGAUCAGAGACGGACUGGUGAGGGCCACUUACUGGUUAAAUGAAUUGGAGUGGGAUUGAGGAAAACCACAAAUUACACCACAAUAGUCCAGAUUCCCUGUCUACUAAAACUUAAUUAGAUGCUUCUUUCAAGGCUUACACAUAAGUUGAUGAAGCGGUUCAAAGCAAGAUGUUGAGAAGUCUUUAUUUUUGACAGAAAUGAGCAGAAUUAAAAAU